UCCGUAGGUGAACCUGCGGAGGGAUCAUUACCGAGUUAUUCAACUCAUCAACCCUGUGAACAUACCUAAACGUUGCUUCGGCGGGAACAGACGGCCCCGUGAAACGGGCCGCCCCCGCCAGAGGACCCCUAACUCUGUUUCUAUAAUGUUUCUUCUGAGUAAAACAAGCAAAUAAAUUAAAACUUUCAACAACGGAUCUCUUGGCUCUGGCAUCGAUGAAGAACGCAGCGAAAUGCGAUAAGUAAUGUGAAUUGCAGAAUUCAGUGAAUCAUCGAAUCUUUGAACGCACAUUGCGCCCGCCAGUAUUCUGGCGGGCAUGCCUGUUCGAGCGUCAUUACAACCCUCAGGCCCCCGGGCCUGGCGUUGGGGAUCGGCGGAGCCCCCCGUGGGCACACGCCGUCCCCCAAAUACAGUGGCGGUCCCGCCGCAGCUUCCAUCGCGUAGUAGCUAACACCUCGCGACUGGAGAGCGGCGCGGCCACGCCGUAAAACACCCAACUCUUCUGAAGUUGACCUCGAAUCAGGUAGGAAUACCCGCUGAACUUAAGCAUAUCAAUAAGCGGAGGA
rnacentral:rRNA from 1 species